rnacentral:tRNA from 1 species
GCGGGUGUGGCGCAAUGGUAGCGCAGAAUCUUCCCAAGAUUAAGGUUGUGGGUUCGAAUCCCAUCACCCGCU